UCCUACGGGAGGCAGCAGUGAGGAAUAUUGGUCAAUGGGCGGAAGCCUGAACCAGCCAAGUCGCGUGAGGGAAGACGGUCCUACGGAUUGUAAACCUCUUUUGUCGGGGAGCAAAGGGGCCACGCGUGGCAGGAUGAGCGUACCCGAAGAAAAAGCAUCGGCUAACUCCGUGCCAGCAGCCGCGGUAAUA
rnacentral:rRNA from 1 species